CAACUGCUGACGGUGGAUCUCUCGGCUCGUGUAUCGAUGAAGAACGUAGCCAGUUGCGAUAAGUAAUGUGAAUUGCAGAAUGAUGUGAAUCAUCGAAUCUUUGAACGCAAAUUGCACUCUUUGGAUCUCUCUCCAUUGAGUAUGUCUGUCUGAGUGUCGUGAAACAA
rnacentral:rRNA from 1 species